AAAAAGUGAAACAUCAGUGCAAUCCAUUCAAAAUAUAUAUUUACAUUGGUCCAAUGGAAAAUUGUGAUUUUCAGUUUAUACCUUCUGUUUUCACUUUGCCUCAAAGUAAGUGUUACGCCCUCUAGACAAACUUUAAAACAUUACUUUUACUUGAAUGGUAGUUUAAGGUUAAACCAAAGUUUUGGGGUGUCAUGUGAUCAUGUGACGUCAUUACGUCUCGGUACAUCUCAGUCGUUGAAAAUUUCUGCUGUCCGCCAUUACCUCGCUUCGCAAGCAAAGGACCAUCUCCAUGUGCGAGUCUGCGAGAAAACUCAAUUAAACAAGGUGCCCUCUUUCUGGAAUCAUUAACCGCUGCAGAAUUUGGUUGUCCAGAGGGAUGAAACUGAAACAGAGCUUGCAAGUUUCACAAUGGCUGUGUUCGUCAUCAGGGAAGAGGGUGAUUCUCUCCAACC